rnacentral:rRNA from 1 species
AUUGAACGCUGGCGGCAGGCCUAACACAUGCAAGUCGAGCGGAUGAAGGGAGCUUGCUCCUGGAUUCAGCGGCGGACGGGUGAGUAAUGCCUAGGAAUCUGCCUGGUAGUGGGGGAUAACGUCCGGAAACGGGCGCUAAUACCGCAUACGUCCUGAGGGAGAAAGUGGGGGAUCUUCGGACCUCACGCUAUCAGAUGAGCCUAGGUCGGAUUAGCUAGUUGGUGGGGUAAAGGCCUACCAAGGCGACGAUCCGUAACUGGUCUGAGAGGAUGAUCAGUCACACUGGAACUGAGACACGGUACAGACUCCUACGGGAGGCAGCAGUGGGGAAUAUUGGACGAUGGGCGAAAGCCUGAUCCAGCCAUGCCGCGUGUGUGAAGAAGGUCUUCGGAUUGUAAAGCACUUUAAGUUGGGAGGAAGGGCAGUAAGUUAAAACCUUGCUGUUUUGACGUUACCAACAGAAUAAGCACCGGCUAACUUCGU